rnacentral:rRNA from 1 species
CAGCCGCCGCGGUAAUACGGAGGAUCCAAGCGUUAUCCGGAAUCAUUGGGUUUAAAGGGUCCGUAGGCGGUCUUGUAAGUCAGUGGUGAAAGCCCAUCGCUCAACGGUGGAACGGCCAUUGAUACUGCAGGACUUGAAUUAUUGGGAAGUAACUAGAAUAUGUAGUGUAGCGGUGAAAUGCUUAGAGAUUACAUGGAAUACCAAUUGCGAAGGCAGGUUACUACCAAUUGAUUGACGCUGAUGGACGAAAGCGUGGGUAGCGAACAGGAUUAGAUACCCGGGUAGUCCCUGUCUCUUAUAA